GGGUGAUGUGAGGGAGAGGGACCAGAAAAUCAGCACUUGCAGGGUUGCAAGGAAAUGCCUGAAGGCACUGCUAUGGGGAGAUCCCCCAAAGCUCCAGAGGAGGUUGUGGUGGGUAACGGGGGGAGGCUGCUUGGAUUUGUGCAGAGGGAGAGCUGGAGAGAGAAAUAGAUGGACAGAGGGAUCAACAGAGGAGAGAACUGUUGGUUGGAUGGAUGGAUGGAUGGAUGGAUGGAUGGAUGGAUGGAUGGAUGGAUGGAAAAACGGAUUGAAGGAUCAUUGGAUGGACGGAACGAUUGUUGGAUGAAAGGGUGGAUGUAAAUACAGGUGGGUGGAGAGAUCAACAGGAAAA
rnacentral:lncRNA from 1 species